rnacentral:rRNA from 1 species
AGAGUUUGAUCAUGGCUCAGAUUGAACGCUGGCGGCAUGCUUUACACAUGCAAGUCGAACGGUAACAGGGGCUUCGGCCCGCUGACGAGUGGCGGACGGGUGAGUAACACAUCGGAACGUACCCAGUGGUGGGGGAUAGCUCGGCGAAAGCCGGAUUAAUACCGCAUACGCCCUGAGGGGGAAAGUGGGGGACCGCAAGGCCUCACGCUAUUGGAGCGGCCGAUGUCGGAUUAGCUAGUUGGUGGGGUAAAGGCCUACCAAGGCGACGAUCCGUAGCUGGUCUGAGAGGAUGAUCAGCCACACUGGGACUGAGACACGGCCCAGACUCCUACGGGAGGCAGCAGUGGGGAAUUUUGGACAAUGGGGGCAACCCUGAUCCAGCCAUGCCGCGUGAGUGAAGAAGGCCUUCGGGUUGUAAAGCUCUUUCAGGUGGGAAGAAAUGGCGCCUCCGAAUACGGGGCGUCGAUGACGGUACCGCCAGAAGAAGCACCGGCUAACUACGUGCCAGCAGCCGCGGUAAUACGUAGGGUGCGAGCGUUAAUCGGAAUUACUGGGCGUAAAGCGUGCGCAGGCGGUUCGCUAAGACAGGUGUGAAAUCCCCGGGCUUAACCUGGGAAUGGCGCUUGUGACUGGCGAGCUAGAGUACGGCAGAGGGGGGUGGAAUUCCACGUGUAGCAGUGAAAUGCGUAGAGAUGUGGAGGAACACCGAUGGCGAAGGC